rnacentral:tRNA from 1 species
GUGGGUGUAGCUCAGUUGGUUAGAGCCCUGGGUUGUGGUUCCAGUUGUCGUGGGUUCGAAUCCCAUCAUCCACCCA